rnacentral:rRNA from 1 species
CAUUUGAAACUGGCAGGCUAGAGUCUCGUAGAGGGGGGUAGAAUUUCAGGUGUAGCGGUGAAAUGCGUAGAGAUCUGAAGGAAUACCAGUGGCGAAGGCGGCCCCCUGGACAAAGACUGACGCUCAGAUGCGAAAGCGUGGGUAGCAAACAGGAUUAGAUACCCUGGUAGUCCACGCCGUAAACGCUGUCUACUUGGAGGUUGAGGUUUAAGACUUUGGCUUUCGGCGCUAACGCAUUAAGUAGACCGCCUGGGGAGUACGGCCGCAAGGUUAAAACUCAAAUGAAUUGACGGGGGCCCGCACAAGCGGUGGAGCAUGUGGUUUAAUUCGAUGCAACGCGAAGAACCUUACCUACUCUUGACAUCCAGCGAAUCCUUUAGAGAUAGAGGAGUGCCUUCGGGAGCGCUGAGACAGGUGCUGCAUGGCUGUCGUCAGCUCGUGUUGUGAAAUGUUGGGUUAAGUCCCGCAACGAGCGCAACCCUUAUCCUUGUUUGCCAGCACAUAAUGGUGGGAACUCCAGGGAGACUGCCGGUGAUAAACCGGAGGAAGGUGGGGACGACGUCAAGUCAUCAUGGCCCUUACGAGUAGGGCUACACACGUGCUACAAUGGCAGAUACAGAGGGCAGCGAAGCUGCGAAGUGGAGCGAAUCCCUUAAAGUCUGUCGUAGUCCGGAUUGGAGUCUGCAACUCGACUCCAUGAAGUCGGAAUCGCUAGUAAUCGUGGAUCAGAAUGCCACGGUGAAUACGUUCCCGGGCCUUGUACACACCGCCCGU